AUUUUUGUUAAACAAUAUCUUGUGAAGUGGAAGGGACUAUCAUAUCUACAUUGCACAUGGAUUCUUGAGAAAGAAUUUUUCAAAGCAUUCAAGACAUACCCGCGUCUAAAGCAGAAGGUUAACAAUUUCAAUCGUCAAAGGUCUUCCAUUAAUAACACAGAGGAGGAAUUUGUUGCCAUUCGACCCGAAUGGACAACUGUUGACCGGAUCCUUGCUUGCAGGGGCGAUGAUGAGAAGCAAUAUCAUGUAAAGUGGCAAGAACUUCCUUACGAUGAAUGCUAUUGGGAAGUGGAGGCUAAUAUCUCUACAUUUCAGCCAGAAAUAGAGAAAUUCCAUAGAAUCCAGUCUAGAUCUCACAAAUUGUCUGGUAAGUAGAAGAGCAGUCUUAAAGAUGCUCUCGAAUCAAAAAAGAAGCAGAAAGAGUUUCAACAGUUUGAACACAGUCCUG